rnacentral:rRNA from 1 species
UCUUGGUCAUUUAGAGGAAGUAAAAGUCGUAACAAGGUCUCCGUUGGUGAACCAGCGGAGGGAUCAUUAUAGAGUUUUCUAAACUCCCAACCCAUGUGAACUUACCUUUUGUUGCCUCGGCAGAAGUUAUAGGUCUUCUUAUAGCUGCUGCCGGUGGACCAUUAAACUCUUGUUAUUUUAUGUAAUCUGAGCGUCUUAUUUUAAUAAGUCAAAACUUUCAACAACGGAUCUCUUGGUUCUGGCAUCGAUGAAGAACGCAGCGAAAUGCGAUAAGUAAUGUGAAUUGCAGAAUUCAGUGAAUCAUCGAAUCUUUGAACGCACAUUGCGCCCAUUAGUAUUCUAGUGGGCAUGCCUGUUCGAGCGUCAUUUCAACCCUUAAGCCUAGCUUAGUGUUGGGAAUCUACUUCUCUUAGGAGUUGUAGUUCCUGAAAUACAACGGCGGAUUUGUAGUGAUCCUCUGAGCGUAGUAAUUUUUUUCUCGCUAUUGUUAGGUGCUAUAACUCCCAGCCGCUAAACCCCCAAUUUUUUGUGGGUGACCUCGGAUCAGGUAGGAAUACCCGCUGAACUUAAGCAUAUCAGUAAGCGGAGGAA